UACGGAGGGUGCGAGCGUUGUCCGGAUUUAUUGGGCGUAAAGAGCGUGUAGGCGGCCAAGCAGGUCCGCUGUGAAAACUCGAGGCUCAACCUCGAGAGGUCGGUGGAAACCGUUUGGCUAGAGUCCGGAAGAGGCGAGUGGAAUUCCUGGUGUAGCGGUGAAAUGCGCAGAUAUCAGGAGGAACACCAAUGGCGAAGGCAGCUCGCUGGGACGGUACUGACGCUGAGACGCGAAAGCGUGGGGAGCAAACAGG
rnacentral:rRNA from 1 species